rnacentral:rRNA from 1 species
UACGAAGGGUGCAAGCGUUACUCGGAAUUACUGGGCGUAAAGCGUGCGUAGGUGGUGAGUUAAGUCUGUCGUGAAAGCCCCGGGCUCAACCUGGGAAUGGCGAUGGAUACUGGCUCGCUAGAGUGCGGUAGAGGAGAGUGGAAUUCCCGGUGUAGCGGUGGAAUGCGUAGAGAUCGGGAAGAAUACCUGUGGCGAAGGCGGCCAGCUGGGCCAGAUCCGACACUGAGGCGCGAAAGCGUGGGGGAGCAAACGGG